rnacentral:rRNA from 1 species
UACGAAGGGGGCUAGCGUUGCUCGGAAUCACUGGGCGUAAAGGGUGCGUAGGCGGGUCUUUAAGUCAGGGGUGAAAUCCUGGAGCUCAACUCCAGAACUGCCUCUGAUACUGGGGAUCUUGAGUCCGGAAGAGGUAAGUGGAACUGCGAGUGUAGAGGUGAAAUUCGUAGAUAUUCGCAAGAACACCAGUGGCGAAGGCGGCUUACUGGUCCGGUACUGACGCUGAGGUGCGAAAGCGUGGGGAGCAAACAGG